GGCAACGUGGCUGAGUGGUUAAAGCGUAUGACUAGAAUAAAUCACAUCCGGACUAGACUAUCAUAUCCCUUCGGGGUCACAGGUUCGAGUCCUGUCGUUGUCG